rnacentral:rRNA from 1 species
GUCCAUGCUGUAAACGAUGGGUACUAGUUAGUGCGGGUAUUGACCCCUGCGCUGACGAAGCUAACGCAUUAAGUACCCCGCCUGGGGAGUACGGCCGCAAGGCUAAAACUCAAAGGAAUUGACGGGGGCCCCGCACAAGCGGUGGAGCAUGUGGAUUAAUUCGACGCAACGCGAAGAACCUUACCUGGCCUUGACAUCCCGGGAACCGGCUUGAAAGAGCUGGGUGCCUUUCGGGGAACCCGGAGACAGGUGCUGCAUGGCUGUCGU